UACGGAGGGGGCUAGCGUUGUUCGGAAUUACUGGGCGUAAAGCGCGCGUAGGCGGCUUUGUAAGUUAGAGGUGAAAGCCCGGAGCUCAACUCCGGAACUGCCUUUAAGACUGCAUCGCUCGAAUUGUGGAGAGGUAAGUGGAAUUCCGAGUGUAGAGGUGAAAUUCGUAGAUAUUCGGAAGAACACCAGUGGCGAAGGCGACUUACUGGACACAUAUUGACGCUGAGGUGCGAAAGCGUGGGGAGCAAACAGG
rnacentral:rRNA from 1 species